rnacentral:rRNA from 1 species
AUUGAACGCUGGCGGCAUGCUUUACACAUGCAAGUCGAACGGCAGCGCGGGCUUCGGCCUGGCGGCGAGUGGCGAACGGGUGAGUAAUAUAUCGGAACGUACCCAGGAGUGGGGGAUAACGUAGCGAAAGUUACGCUAAUACCGCAUACGUCCUAAGGGAGAAAGCGGGGGAUCGCAAGACCUCGUGCUCAUGGAGCGGCCGAUAUCUGAUUAGCUAGUUGGUGGGGUAAAGGCUCACCAAGGCAACGAUCAGUAGCUGGUCUGAGAGGACGACCAGCCACAAUGGAACUGAGACACGGUCCAGACUCCUACGGGAGGCAGCAGUGGGGAAUUUUGGACAAUGGGGGCAACCCUGAUCCAGCAAUGCCGCGCGAGUGAAGAAGGCCUUCGGGUUGUAAAGCUCUUUUGUCAGGGAAGAAACGACUCUCUCUAAUACAGAGGGUUAAUGACGGUACCUGAAGAAUAAGCACCGGCUAACUACGUGCCAGCCGCCGCAGUAAAAC